rnacentral:rRNA from 1 species
UGGUUUGAUUAUGGCUCAGGAUGAACGCUGGCGGCAUGCCUAAUACAUGCAAGUCGAACGGAGUGAAGCCUUCGGGUUUCAUUCAGUGGCGAACGGGUGAGUAAUACGCAGGGAACCUGGCCAUGGCAGGGGGAUACACUCUGGAAACGGAGCAUAAGACCCCAUAGGCAGUAAGGCGGCAUCGCCUUACUGUUAAAGAAAGCUGAAAGGCUUUGGCGAUGGAUGGACCUGCGGUGCAUUAGCUUGUUGGUGAGGCAACGGCUUACCAAGGCGAUGAUGCAUAGCCGGCCUGAGAGGGCGGACGGCCACACUGGGACUGAGACACGGCCCAGACUCCUGCGGGAGGCAGCAGUAGGGAAUUUUCGUCAAUGGGCGCAAGCCUGAACGAGCAAUGCCGCGUGAGUGAGGAAGGUCUUCGGACUGUAAAGCUCUGUUGCCGGGGAAAAAGGGGAAAUGCAGGAAAUGGCAUUUCAUGGAUGGUACCCGGCCAGAAAGCCACGGCUAACUACGUGCCAGCAGCCGCGGUAAUACGUAGGUGGCGAGCGUUAUCCGGAAUGAUUGGGCGUAAAGGGUGCGCAGGCGGUCUGUUAAGUCUGAAGGCAAAGGGAUGAGCUCAACUCAUUUAUGAUUCAGAAACUGGCAGACUUGAGGACAGGAGAGGGCGGUGGAACUCCAUGUGUAGCGGUAAAAUGCGCAGAGAUAUGGAAGAACACCAGUGGCGAAGGCGGCCGCCUGGCCUGUGACUGACGCUGAGGCACGAAAGCGUGGGGAGCAAAUAGGAUUAGAUACCCUAGUAGUCCACGCCGUAAACGAUGAGGAGCAGGUGUUGGGAGUGAAAUCUCAGUGCCGAAGCCAACGCAGUGACUCCUCCGCCUGGGGAGUAUGCACGCAAGUGUGAAACUCAAAGGAAUUGACGGGGGCCCGCGCAAGCGGUGGAGUAUGUGGUUUAAUUCGAAGCAACGCGAAGAACCUUACCAGGUUUUGACAUCGGAUGCGAAGGCGCAGAGAUGCGCUGGAGGCUAUCAUCCAGACAGGUGGUGCAUGGUUGUCGUCAGCUCGUGUCGUGAGAUGUUCAGUUAAGUCUGGCAACGAGCGCAACCCCCGUGGUAUGUUACUAACGCAUUUGGGCGAGGACUCAUAUCAGACUGCCGGUGACAAACCGGAGGAAGGCGGGGAUGACGUCAAAUCAUCAUGCCCCUUAUGACCUGGGCUACACACGUACUACAAUGGCGUCUACAGAGGGAAGCGACCCUGAGAAGGGAAGCGAAACCGGAAAAGGGCGUCCCAGUUCGGAUUGAAGUCUGCAACCCGACUUCAUGAAGAUGGAAUCGCUAGUAAUCGCGGAUCAGCAUGCCGCGGUGAAUACGUUCCCGGGCCUUGUACACACCGCCCGUCAAACCAUGGAAGCCGGCAACGCCCGAAGCCGGUGGCAUAACCUUUUAGGAGUGAGCCGUCGAAGGCGGGGCCGAUGACUGGGGUUAAGUCGUAACAAGGUAUCC